UACGUAGGAGGCAAGCGUUGUCCGGAAUCACUGGGCGUAAAGAGCGUGUAGGCGGUCUGCCAAGUCUGUUGUGAAAGCGCCUGGCUUAACUGGGCGAGGUCGACGGAAACUGACAAACUGGAGGCCGGUAGAGGAGGGUGGAAUUCCCGGUGUAGUGGUGAAAUGCGUAGAGAUCGGGAGGAACACCAGUGGCGAAGGCGGCCCUCUGGGCCGGGCCUGACGCUGAGACGCGAGGGCGUGGGAGCGAACGGG
rnacentral:rRNA from 1 species